rnacentral:rRNA from 1 species
UACGUAGGGGGCAAGCGUUGUCCGGAAUUAUUGGGCGUAAAGAGCGUGUAGGCGGUCCUGUAAGUCGGCUGUGAAAGUCCAGGGCUCAACCCUGGGAUGCCGGUCGAUACUGCCGGACUAGAGUUCGGAAGAGGCGAGUGGAAUUCCCGGUGUAGCGGUGAAAUGCGCAGAUAUCGGGAGGAACACCUAUGGCGAAGGCAGCUCGCUGGGACGUUACUGACGCUGAGACGCGAAAGCGUGGGGAGCAAACAGG